GGUGGGGGUCUCAAGCGGCCAAAGGGGGCAGACAGUAAAUCUGCCGUCAUCGACUUCGAAGUUCGAAUCCUUCCCCCACCACCA
rnacentral:tRNA from 1 species